GCAUCUCGAGCCUUAUCUCGAGGUCGGAUCGCCCGAUGGCCUAUGGGAGGAGGUGAUCACGUGGAAUAGCACGGCAGACGACGCCGAACGGCGCCUGUCCAAGUCCUGGAGGCGGGCUUUGGUCACCUACCUGGUCAGCACCACGGGAGGUGGCACUUCGUCGUCGGGCGAUGCGUGGACGCUUGGUGCGGCCGCCGGGCUACCUGUUCGCCCUGACGUCUCUCGUCGAGGCGGUUGGCGCGCAGGGGUCGCAGCUGUAUAGCGCCGCUGCUCACUUUCCAGUGGCUGGGAGACCGCUGAAGAGCUGGUGCACAGGCUCUGCUUCGAACGCCUCGACGUGGCCAUGGGCUGGGUCGUCUUGGCGCAAGACGCCUUCACGCUUGCCGCAACCGCCGUGCGCAGCGACGUGCAGCACUUGGCGGAGCACGUGACCAAUGUCACUGAGGGGCUGCUUGGAAAGUAGGAUGGUUCCCUGAGCGACGCCGUAUCGGCGCACCUGUUCGGCCUGGCAGAUCUGCUGCCGACCGAGGAGGCCUUGGACGCGGUCUAUGCCACGUACGCCGACAUGCAGCCGGACGCCUUCCACGACAACUGGCUGCGUGCAAUCGAUGGCCGACGACGUCAGCGGGGCGCACUGGCGGCCGAGUCUCAACUGGCGCGACUCGUAGAGGCGCCUUUCUUCGACUUGGACUUCGAGUGGGUGCCGCCCACCGGCAACGAUAGCUCAUCCGGCUUGCGAAGGGUGCUGGUAGUUCGGCCACAGCACAUCGUAUUUCCUAUGUACAGCGUCAACGUUACCGACGCCCUCAGGUGCUGUUUCACGAUUUCUUUCGAGAGCGCAAACAGACAACACAGAAGAAGAAUACAUAACAGGAGCAGUUUGAGGGGCAACACUUUUCCAAGUAAUCAUUGAAUGGCUUCGUGAGCUUAUUAUCUCACGAAUCGACUGCGGCAAAACUUUUUAGAAUCCGUCAUGUACGAGCGGAGUUAGAGGGAUUUGUUGCACGUUCGCGCCACGGAGCGAGGGGUCGCAGGUUCAAAUCCUCGAUCCCACUUGAACUGAAGAUAUCUUAUUAUUUCUUUAU
rnacentral:lncRNA from 1 species